UUUAGUUUCGACCUCGGUUGAGCUGGAGACUCAUCUAACGGCUUUCUCAGCGGCAAGUUCGAAGUCAUGUCGCCUUUGAAUGGUGGGUGGUGCAGCAGUUACGGUCGACUCGGUCAUCGCUCGACUUGCGUCUAAAUUGCGAGUGCAGAAAAUAGUGUUCACGGAAUUAACAGACCUCGAUAAUCCAAGUGUAGGCGAAUAAAUAAGUGAAAUUAUUGUGGCAAGCCAGCAAUAAAUCACUAAAUUAAUAGCACUGCCGAGCACCCGCGGCACACGCACAGCUGUUGUGUGUGAAAAGUGAGAAGAGGAAACAGAAGGAAGUGAAAUUGGCGGCAGUUUGACCGCAACAGCAAUAAAAUACGUCUGCAAUCCACAAACGCACGCUCACAUAUGUACAUCCGUUCGUCAUCGUCAUCGAAUCGUCGUGGUCCUCCGCUUCUCAGUCCCCGCCACCCCACCCCCUUCGGCUCACGAGUCAUUGUGACAUUUGAUUUAUUUGACGUGUGUGUUUUUGAUAGAAGUUCAACACGAAAGCGUCACACAAACACACGUAUGCUCGCCGAGGAAUUUAUUCAGUGAACGAAAAUAAAAUCGCACUGGGCCGCCGUGAAACGAAUACGCCGCCAUCGAUGAGCAGCCGGACGGAAGGCAGAAGUAUCGCCAGGCAGUCCAAUAAUCAAAACUUUGGAAAGCGAGCCGGGGUCCCCAGUAUUCCCGAAAAUGAUGCUGCACGAGGCCGUCAUGCUGGAAAUCUAUCGCCAGGCGCUGAGUGCAAGUGAGCUAACUAGUCCGCGAUGCCAGUCUCGGGAGUCCAACACCUCAGCUGGAGCGGUAGCUGGAACGGGCGAUGUGCGAUGUCCAUCGAAUGAGUCGCAUUGUUCGACCAACGAUCUUUUGACCCCAGCAGCGACGCCCACCCUCGCGCAAACCUGCACUGCUAUCUCCCCGAGCUCGGUGGGACUUCCCCUGACGGCGACCCUUCCUCCUGCAGCUGCAGUUUCUCUGCUACCGCCCCAAUCCGCCGCCAUGGCCGCUUACCUAGCCGCUGCCCAACAAAAUCACCUGCUGCUAACGAAUCCUUUGGCGGCAGCAGCUUCCCUGGUCCAACAUGCAACGCAGCAGGCGGCGGGGCAAGUGAAGGGGGAGUCACCGGCCCUGGAUUUUAGCAGAAAGCGGACUACGAGCGACGGGGACGAUGGUCAGGAAGAGGAUCAGGAACAGGAACAGGACCAAGAGCCCGAGCAAGAUGGCCAGGGCGAUAAUGGUCCUUUAGAUCUAUCUGUAAGCACAGGGAAAAGGCAAGGAUCGGACUCUCCGCCUGCCAGGAAGAUUCCAAGAAGUAUAUCGGCAGAAUACAAGUCCCCUCUACCACCUGGCAGCUGGAUGCCGCCCAUGAACCCAUACUUGGCGGCUGUAGCGGCUAAGACUUGCGGCUUGGGAUACUCUAAGUUGGCACCCAGUGAGGCCAGCAAGGCGCUAGAGAAGAUGAGUGAGAUGAGCCGAUUGGAAACACCACCAGCAGUUGCCCGAAGUUCAGGCGCCACAUCCUCUCUAGGAGCAGUAGUGCCUGGGGGAGGCGGUUCCAACUCCGGUGGCCGGCACAGCGCGUGGCAGUCUCAUUGGCUAAACAAAGGUGCUGAUACUGCUAAGGAUGUGUUUAAGUGUGUGUGGUGCAAGCAAAGCUUUUCAACUUUGGCUAACUUAACUGCCCACAUGAAGGAGACUCAGAAAUGCGGUGUUCAGAUACCUUCGCCGUUACCAACCGGAGAUGUCGGUCCUCCGACUGCUGCUCCUCCCACAAGGUUGGCCACUUCAGCCUCCAACUCGGCCUGUUCCAGCAGCAGCAGCUCCACCUCGAGCUCUUCAAACUCCUCAAAAUCAGAGUUAAAUAUGCUUAUUAAGGAAACUAUGCCCCUUCCCAGAAAACUGGUGAGGGGUCAGGAUGUUUGGCUCGGAAAGGGCGCAGAGCAAACCCGCCAGAUACUUAAGUGCAUGUGGUGUGGACAAAGCUUUCGGUCUCUGGCCGAGAUGACCAGCCACAUGCAGGAGACGCAGCACUACACGAAUAUCAUCUCGCAGGAGCAGAUCAUUUCCUGGAAGUCGGGCGAUGAACGUGAAAGGCCGGCAAACCCUGGAGUUCCAUCAGCAUCCACAGCUGCUUCCCCUUCGGCGAAUGGCACGGCUCCAUCAGUGAGUGCCGUGCUCACGUGUAAAGUUUGUGAUCAGGCCUUCGGUAGCCUAAAGGAGUUAAGCAGCCACAUGGCCCAAAAAUCGCACUACAAGGAGUCACCGGCUCCGUCUGAUUCUCCACCAGCUGCUGGCACUGGCAAUCCGAAAAGGGGAAGGCAAAAUCGCAACGAGAAACGCAAGAAGUCCUUGCCGGUGAGGAAGCUUCUUGAGCUAGAGCGAUCCGGCUCGAAUUGCAGUCUGGACUCGGCGCUAAAGCCCCUGAGGGACUUUGCUGCUGCCACCAAAAUUACCUGUGAAAAGUGUGGCAGUAAGAUUGAAACUGCGUUGUUUGUCGAGCACAUACGAAAGUGUCUGGGCGAAAGUAUUCCAAUACCUCCCCGUCGAUCUAACGUGGGAGUAGAGCGCCAGCCAAGUCCGAGUGUAGGACUAGGAGGUGAAAAAUCGCCAUCAGUCCUAAAUGCAUUGGAGCAGCUCAUAGAGAAGAGCUUUGAAUCGAGAACAAGCAGAACCAUGACACUAGGUGGCUAUUCCGAAGCUGGAACUCCGCUGGGGGCCAGCAUCCUGAAGCGCUUGGGAAUCGAGGACAGCAGUGACUACACCAAGCCUCUAAUGGAAGCCCAGGCGAUGCACCAGCUCCGAUCUUCAUUCGCCUCGCGAGACCGCAGUGCCAGCGAAUCGAGCUCAGCCAGUAGGGUGGAAUCUUCCUACACCCCCGACAGACAGCAGGCCACACCCCGCAUAAGUCCAGAUACUCCUGCUCCGCCGCCUCCUCCUCCACCUUCCACUAUCAAAGCUGAGCCACCAGAGGCGGAACAUUCGGUGGGGGGCGAUCGAGAGGGCUGCAGCCCCCGGCAGCAGAUCCAAGUAAAGAAGGAGUUCAACAUUGAAGCGAGUCGGGAGAGUCCUCGAUCUAUAAGCGAAUCUCCUGCGCCGCAGACUGAAAGAUCUCACACAGAUAGUGGCAGCCUACUGGCCUUGAACUCCAUGUUUGAUCAGCUCAAUGGAGUGGAGAACAGCAGCAACAACAACUCGGGGAAUUGCUUUAACAACAACAAGAACCACAGCAGCAGCAGCAGUAGCGUCUCCGCCCAGAAGCCAAAGUCCCAUCCCCUGGCUGCGCUGCAGAAACUGUGCGAGACAACGGAUCCCCCAGGCACUGGCCCCCGGUGCGGAUCGUCCGCAGGAUCCUCCACCGCAUCUACAACACUUCCCUCAGCGAACGGAAGCGAUAUAGUGGCCUUCAGCUGGGCCAGCAACGAGGCCGUCCUGAGUGCCAGUAAUGGUGGCUCCGGCGGCGAUUCGUCUCUCAUUAAGUGCUCCUACUGUGAUACUCCUUUUGCAUCGAAGGGCGCCUACCGCCACCAUCUCUCCAAGGUGCACUUUGUGAAAGACGCGGGCGAGGACUCUCCCAGACUCAAGUCUCCCUCUGUUCAGAGCCCUAAGUCGAUGCCCUCGGCCUCACCCAGGAGAUCAGCUUCCAGAAGUCCGGCGACAGGAUCUCAGCAGCCCCUUCCCUCUCCCACCAUUAAUCCCUAUGACGAGAGUCCUCAGUCUAAGUUCCUCAAAUACACGGAGCUGGCCAAACAGCUGUCCUCUAAAAACGCCUAGACACGAGCAGAAGCUGUCGGAAUUUCGCAGAACUCUGGAUGCAUUUGGGCAUCGGAGAACUUGUAAAGAAGUUACGUCGCCAAUGAAAAGAGAAGGAGAUUCUACUAGCGAAAGUCUUGGGGACGAACUAAAGCGAAAGGUUCUGGGCUCGGAUUAAACAAAUUCGGUUACAGAUUACAGACGCAUCCUCUCUCUUGAGAAGUUGUUCCCCUUCGUCAGUGACGUCACAGCGAUGCUGGUCUGCUCCUUAUUGUUUCCCAAUCGGACAGUCGCAGUCUGAAGCACGAGCGAGAGAGGACUAUAGUAAGCUGGAAAUUCAAUUACCACCACUUUGACGAACUGCUGUCCAUCAAAGCGAGUUGGACAGGGAUGGCCAUAGUGGCCGAGUGACGAGAGGCGACGACACGAGUUCGUCAAAGUGGGAUUUGAUGGUGGCGAGAGAGACAGGCAUAGCGCAGUGGGUGUGUAUAGAGCAAGAGUGUGAGUGCCACCACUGAGUGUGAGUGGCAAAAAUGGACUUCGUUUUCGAGUGCAUUUGAAUCGGAUUUGAGUGCACUCAGGGAACAAGCCAACCAUUACUUAUUUAUUUAUCCGCUGCUCCUUGUCACAAUGAAUAAAAACAAAAAGGGUGCCAAAAAUCAAAACUGUUUAAAUCUUGAAAGAUACCUAACCAGCUCAAUUGGUUCUUCUAAGCAAUAACAAAACAAAAGCAACGCAGUAUACGUAAAUCCUUACACUUAAACGAUAACCUCAAUGAUAGAACCAAUUAAUGGUUGCGUGCAACUCUUAGCGAUGCACAUGUAGCCCCCAUAUAAAAAAAAUGCAUUAAAUGAAUGUAAAUACGAGCCAAUGGCACUUUCCUUCCAUAAGUCUAAAGAUUACCGAUAUUUACAUAAAUAUAUAGCCACAGCAACGCAUGUAUACGGAAUCAAUUUUAAAAUGGUAUAUUCAUACACAUAUUAAACAAUAUAAAAAGCAAUGUAUAUUAGCAGUUCGAGUCUCAACAAUUACUAAGAACUUUGAAUCUCUAACCUAAGAGUUAAACCUAAGAAGAGGGCAAUAUAUGCAGAAUGUGAAUCAUUUCAUAUUGUCCAAACAAUCACUUUUACAGUCUCUCUUCGGGAUAAUUUAUAUCUAUGAUAUAUGGUGAAUAAUAGUUACUAACUAUGUAUACGAAUUGUAUUUUAGUUUUUGUGAUAUUAUUUUUAAUCAAACCAGUUCGCUUCCCCCCUGCCACGCACCGCAACAUCCCUUGUAUUUCCUGCAAGACCUCACCCUUUCCCCUCCCCAGCAGAUUACUCGCUUUAGUUAUACAAACGCAAUAAAGGCAGUAUUCAGAAUAGAA